rnacentral:rRNA from 1 species
UACGUAGGUGGCAAGCGUUGUCCGGAAUUAUUGGGCGUAAAGCGCGCGCAGGUGGUUUCUUAAGUCUGAUGUGAAAGCCCACGGCUCAACCGUGGAGGGUCAUUGGAAACUGGGGGAACUUGAGUGCAGAAGAGGAAAGUGGAAUUCCAAGUGUAGCGGUGAAAUGGCGUAGAGAUUUGGAGGAACACCAGUGGCGAAGGCGACUUUCUGGUCUGUAACUGACACUGAGGCGCGAAAGCGUGGGGAGCGAACAGG